CGGAGGCUAGGUGUAAACGUGCUUAAAAAUUAUUGACUACUUGUUUACGAUUACGAGUUGUAUUCGCAGUUGGAUUCCUCAUAAUUGGGAUAGGUCCACUGAAUUUUAUGGAGAAGAUGGUGCCUAUCUGUUUUGUCGUUAUUGAUAUUUGCUGUUUUGGCCGAUUGUUCAUUGUUACGAUAAUGAAGGGAAUGACGUGUGCAAUGAUGCCUAAAAGAACAAUUUGGAUGGUUGUCAUAGGCUCAUAACUUACCUCUUUUGCUCUCUCUCUAUUUAUAUCACUUAUCAACACUGAAAAAAUGCACCUGCUUCUUCUGUUUCUACGACAUUACAACCAUAUUCAAGUUCUGUUCCGUUUGAGAAGUGGAGACCCAGUUUGGAGGCAUAAUUUUAUAGCCUAUGCAUAUAUAAAGAUUUGAUUUUCAAUAGAAGAAACAGAUCCUUUUCUGCAUAAUCAUUUGUUCGUCUGCUGAAAGCAUGGCACAAGACUAUAGAGAGGCAUUAUUGAAGAAGAAUUAUUAUGAGAACUGUCCAGGAUGUAAGGUUGAUCAACUCAAAGAAUUGAGGAGAGGACUACCUAUUCGAGAGCUUGUUUCGAUAUGGAUUGUUGUGCUUUGUACUGCACUUCCAAUAUCAUCUCUCUUUCCAUUCCUCUAUUUCAUGGUUAGGGAUUUUAAGAUUGCAAAGCGGGAGGAAGAUAUUGGCUAUUAUGCUGGAUAUGUUGGGUCUUCAUUUAUGCUUGGGAGAGCUUUGACCUCCAUCUUUUGGGGGGUAGUAGCUGAUCGCUAUGGACGAAAACCUGUUAUAAUUAUGGGGACCUUCACUGUGUUAGUAGUUUCUUCCUUCAGUUAUUUUCAACACUAUCUUUGGCCUUAGCACAAAUUUUUGGAUGGCUAUUAGUGCAAGGUUUCUGUUGGGGAGUUUGAAUGGUUUGCUUGGACCUAUAAAGGCAUAUGCAUGUGAAAUUUUCCGGGACGAACACCAAGCCUUAGGAUUGUCAACAGUGAGUACCUCAUGGGGUAUCGGAUUGAUCAUUGGCCCAGCUCUAGGAGGUUUCCUUGCUCAGCCAGCAGAGAAAUAUCCAAAUCUCUUUCCCAAGGAAUCUUUGUUUGGAAGGUUUCCAUACUUCCUGCCUUGUUUCUGUAUAUCAGUUUUUGCAUUGGGAGUCACUAUUGCUUCUUGCUGGCUUCCGGAAACAUUGCAUAUGCAUAAUGAAAACAGAUUUUUGAGUGAUGACUCAUUUGCUGCUAUGGAAACUGCAUCUAGUGGGUCUGACGGAAUUGAAAGCAGACCAGGCAGUGAAAGAAGCAAACGAGCUUCUGGAGAAAGCCUUAUAAGGAAUUGGCCUUUAAUGUCAUCUAUCAUUGUUUAUUGCGUCUUCUCUCUUCAUGAUAUGGCUUACACAGAGAUAUUUUCAUUAUGGGCUGUCAGCCCAAGAAAGUUUGGGGGGCUGAGCUAUUCAACUGAGGAUAUUGGGGCGGUUCUUGCCAUCUCAGGUUUCAGCCUUCUUGUCUUUCAACUCUCUCUAUAUCCAUACAUGGAAAGGAUUCUUGGACCUAUAACAAUAUCUCGCUUAUCUGGGGUUAUAUCUAUACCAUUGUUGGCAAGUUACCCUUUUAUUGCCAUGUUGUCAGGGUUCAGCCUUAGUCUUCUGUUAAAUUGUGCAUCUAUCAUGAAGAACGUUCUAUCUGUAAGUGAUCCUGACCUAUCCUGAUCUCCUCUAAAGUAUGAUCUUUUAAUAAGAAAUCCACACAAUGCACAUAAUGUUGUUUAUAGCAGUGAAGGAAUAAGAAUAUUCAUUAUGGGAUGGCAACAUUGUUUGUAAGAGGAGAAUCAUAUCCCUCAAAAUGCUUGCCUGUCUGCCUUCUCUCUCCCUCUCUCAUAUGACCAGGUCCUUUACUUAGUUUUCUUCUUCGUAUAGAUAAUUGUCAUUAAUAAAUUUUAACAUGGACAAUUUAGACUGAAUAUUUAAAAAUGCUAUAUAGAGUAACUGGAAAAUGCUCCAAAAUGCAGCUUUUAGAAUCAAUAGCUUUUAGGCGUUCUAAUGACUAAAAACUGCUAAUAUGUUGUUUACUAAUAAGGUGAUCUAGCUGUUGGGCAUCAAAUAGCUAUUGCAUAUUUUCCAACUGCUAAAACAAAUACACCCUAAAAAACCUUAAACACCUAUCUUGUUUGGCUGUUGUUCUGAACAGUGGCUCAUAUAUAUUACCAGGUAGUUUUGCACUCUUCAUUAAACACUAGCUCACAUGCAAAUUAGUUCAAUUGUGGUGGUGAAAGAGUAAAGGUGUUGGAGUUUGGUUCACAUUAAUUUGUUUUACCUUUGUGAAUAAUGAACUGGUACUCUUUGGAGAGUUGUAGCUGACAUGAGAGGAAGGGAAGUGCUAGGGAUAUGUCAAUUUUCCAUUGUUGGCACAUCUUUUGAAAAUGGAUUCGAAUAAAAAUGGUACAUGAAGUUAAUGCAUCAAUGGAUCAAUGCAUGAGCAAACAUGCUCUUCAAAAUAAUAACUGAUAACCAUUAACUUCAGUGGGUACAUAAGAAGUUGAUUUUCGGUGAUCUCAUACAUAACCUCUAAAUGCUGUAAUCAACAGCAUCAGUGAAGUUGUCAUUGCUUGAAAUUCUGCUGAUGCUCCAUUCUUUAUGCAUGUGGUGAUCCUUCAAUUGACGUAAGGGAAUAGAUGUAAUUGACGUAAGGGAAUAGAUGAUAUCAAUACCUUAUCAUUUAUGCUGUCUUCAAAGAAAAUUCA
rnacentral:misc_RNA from 1 species